rnacentral:rRNA from 1 species
UAAUGAAAGUGAAAGGGGGGCGUCCCGGAGUCCUCGUGGCUUCGGUCGGCGCCCUCCGGGGCCGAUCCCUGACCGGCCGAUGCCGCCGUUUGGUUUCCCAUACCAAAGCGAGGUCAUCCCAAAGGGGGUGCGCGGGGUGAGUCCCUUUCCCCCGUCGUCUGCCUCUGGCCUCGUGGGUACCCGGCGCGCUCUAAGACGGUCCGAGCUCCCUUGUUGGGGCUCGCUUGUACGCAGGGGGGCGCAGGCCCGGGACUUGCCAUUUGACGCCGUCGCGCGAAUCUGUUGUUGGCCUCAUCGGCUUUGCUUGGGCUCUCGGUUGGUGCGCCGCGUGUCUUUGGGCGGGCUUUGGGUGGGGGGCCUCGGCUCUUCCCCGGGCUCGUCCGGCGCGGUUUCGCCUUCCGAUCCUGCUCUGUUCGGAGUGGCCUAGCGCGCGUGCUGUCGGCAAGUACCAUGAGCAGACAUGUUGGGACCCGAAAGAUGGUGAACUAUGCCUGGCCAGGAUGAAGCCAGAGGAAACUCUGGUGGAGGUCCGUA